AAAAUAUAUAUAUUUUUUGCCUUUUAGGUAAUGACAUAAUAACUCUAAAAGCAAAGAUUUAGAAGAUUUAAAUCGUUAAUUAAAUAUUUUCAUUUCUAAAUAAUUAAUGUCAGUAGCAUGACAUUGUAAAUAAGUUCAAAUACAGGAUUUAUUUAUUUAAACAAAAAACGUUUAGUAAGAAUAAUAUUUAUUUAAACAAAAAACUUUGUU
rnacentral:sRNA from 1 species